AUUGAACGCUGGCGGCAGGCCUAACACAUGCAAGUCGAACGAGUGGCGGACGGGUGAGUAAUGUCUGGGACACUGCCCGAUGGAGGGGGAUAACUACUGGAAACGGUAGAUAAUACCGCAUACCAUCGGAUGUGCCAAGAUGGGAUUUGCUAGGAGCGGGGGUAACGGCUCACCUAGGCGACGAUCCCUAGCUGGUCUGAGAGGAUGACCACCCACACUGGAACUGAGAACCGGGCCAGACGCGUACGGGAGGCAGCAGUGGGGAAUAUUGCACAGUGGGGGAAAGCCUGAUGAAGCCAUGCCGCGUGUAUGAAGAAGGCCUUCGGGUUGUAAAGUACUUUCAGCGAGGAGGCGUUACUCGCAGAAGAAGCAACGGCUAACUCCGUGCCAGCAGCCGCGGUAAUAC
rnacentral:rRNA from 1 species